rnacentral:tRNA from 1 species
UACCUUACGGUCCAGUGGUUAGGACUCUGCCCUUCCACUGCAGAAGGCCCAGGUUUGAUCCCUGGUCGGGGAA